rnacentral:rRNA from 1 species
UACGGGGGGGGCAAGCGUUGUUCGGAAUUACUGGGCGUAAAGGGCUCGUAGGUGGCCAACUAAGUCAGACGUGAAAUCCCUCGGCUUAACCGGGGAACUGCGUCUGAUACUGGAUGGCUUGAGUUUGGGAGAGGGACGCGGAAUUCCAGGUGUAGCGGUGAAAUGCGUAGAUAUCUGGAGGAACACCGAUGGCGAAGGCAGCACUCUGGCCGAAGACUGACGCUGAAGCGCGAAAGCUGGGGGAGCGAACGGG